UAAUACGUAGGGUGCGAGCGUUAAUCGGAAUUACUGGGCGUAAAGCGUGCGCAGGCGGUUAUAUAAGACAGAUGUGAAAUCCCCGGGCUCAACCUGGGACCUGCAUUUGUGACUGUAUAGCUAGAGUACGGUAGAGGGGGAUGGAAUUCCGCGUGUAGCAGUGAAAUGCGUAGAUAUGCGGAGGAACACCGAUGGCGAAGGCAAUCCCCUGGACCUGUACUGACGCUCAUGCACGAAAGCGUGGGGAGCAAACAG
rnacentral:rRNA from 1 species